GGGGAAAAAAUGGGGUUAAAAAAAAAAAAAAAAACCUGGUUCCUAAGGCUUAAAUAUGUAUUCCUGCUAGGAUGGUGGCAAGCUGCAACACACAUUUAAUAAA